rnacentral:lncRNA from 1 species
CCUCGCGAGGCUGCGGCUGGGGCAGAAAUCCGUCUCUGUGAGCGGAGGAGGGUGUGCUUAUGCGAGAGCAGGUUUUGGGAGCUCACUAAAGCAGGUCCCUGAUUCUGGUCUUGAAUAGCGGAGGAGGAAAAGAAGAUGAUGGGGGAAAAGAAAAGAAGCCAUUUAUGCAUCCCUCCCUAAUUCAGUAUCCGAGCAUGAGGGAGUGUCAAGCUAGUGGGGAAGAAGAGAGGGUUUAGUUUUGAAUGAAGUUGGGAGUUUUUAUUAUUGCACUGAACUAAAUAGGCAUUUUACUA